CCCGCUGAGUUUAAGCAUAUAAAUAAGCGGAGGAAAAGAAACUAACAAGGAUUUGUUGUAAUUAGGGAGUUUAGAGAAUGA
rnacentral:ncRNA from 2 species